AAACUCUGGAGAAGCUCCGCCCACAGCGGGGUGCCGAAGGUGCAAGGCCGCAGGGCCGAAUCUCUCAGGCAAAAGGACAGAGU
rnacentral:ncRNA from 1 species